rnacentral:rRNA from 1 species
CCGAUGGUAGUGUGGGGUCUCCCCAUGUGAGAGUAGGUCAUUGCCAAGC